GCAGUGCACAAAUAGAAAUUUCAAUCAAAUAUCAUUUGACAUUUGAUUUUUUCUUAAAAAAAAGAAAACUAAACACAAACGUGAAUUUGUGGAAUAGCUUUCUGCUAGUAUAAAAACAACACAGACAGCAGCAGUGUGGGAAAUUUUGUUUAAGACUUCCAAACGUCUGAUUACUUGCGAUUUAUAAAAAGACCUAAAUCGCAAAGACAUUUACAAUAUGAUUUUCUGCUACAAAUUUAUAUCUACAACUAAACUUGUUGCGUUGCUGAGCAUUCAAAACUAAUAAUAGAAAUCUGUGUUAUUUUGCCAGUGCAAGUAAUAUAGACAAGCGUAGACACUAAUUAUAUGAGAAUAUUAAAAGCGCAUGCAAGAAAAAUAAAUAUACAAGUCAUGUAAUUGAAAAUUAGAAGGCCUUUGCUAUGAAAACAAUUAUAUACUGAAAUGUGUUUUUUAAACAUCCAAAAUGAAGUAAAUCUAUCUUUUGAUUUCUGUGAAAUGACUAUUAUAACAAAGAUAACUCCUGGUUUUGUGAAUAAAUUAUUAGGAUAGCGAACGAAGUGAGAGGAAAUUCGAUAGUAUCUAAAUGUGAAGGUCGUCAAGUUUGUUCCUUUUUCCUUAUUUCUUGUUUGUAACCUGUUCGUUAGUUAUUACUUAUUCUUUUCUCGUGUUACAAGAGAUCAAGGAACGACUAAGUAAUAGGGUAUCAAUCGAGCACUAAAACGGGUACAUACGCGCUAAUAUGGUUAUUUCAAAUUUAAAAACCCAUGGCCAACUCCAGAGACAAGAAAAAAUUGAAGAGGUUUUUUGAAAAGGUGUAACGUAUAACACACUUAUUACAAGCGAAAGGUGCUACGUAAAGCAUAUGUUUUACAAGCAAAUAAGGAACGACUAAUUAAAAGAGUAUCAAGAGAGCGCUGAAACGGGUACAUAGGCGCUAAUAUGGUUAUUUCACCUCUAAGAACCCAAAGAUCACACCAGAGACACUAAAACGAAAGAAACGAUUUUUUUUUAUAAAAGGUGCAACAUAUAAUUCACGUAUAACAAGCGAAAAAGGAAGAAAUAAGUAACAGGGUUUCAGUCGAGCGCUGAAAGUGGAACAUAUACGCUUAUAUGGUUAUUUCAUCUCUAAGAAUCCAAAGCUAACACAAGAGACCAGAACAAAAUCGAUAAGACUUUUUUUGAGUUGCAACGUAUGAUACCCAUAUUACAAGCGAAUGAGUUACAGGGUAUCAGAUGAGCGCUGAAACGGAUAUACACGCGCCAAUAGUGUGAUUUGACCUCCAUUAACCCAUAGUUAACACCUGAGACAAGAAAAAAAAUGGAAAAGUAUUUUUUAAAAGUUGCAACGUACUACACACGUAUUACAAGCGAAUCAGGAACGAAUAAGUAACAGGAUAUCAGUCGAGAACUGAAACGGGUACAUUUGCACUGGAUGUGUAGUUGCACCUCUACAAACCAAGAACUAUGACCAGAGAUAAGAAAGUAAAGCAAGAAAAGGGGGAAAUACACUAAAAUCGAAUACGUAAUGAAUAAAGAAUAAAGAAUAUGUAAAGAAUAAGGAAUAAGUAACGAAAAGGUAACAAAUAGGGAAUAAAUAACGAAUAAGGGAUAAGGAAUGAGUAACGAAUAUGGAAUGAGGAAUAAGGAAUACGUAACGAAUAAGGAAUAAGUAACAAAUAAUAAAUAAGAAUAAGUUAAUGACCUUCCAAAUUUGUCUGUGACACAAAUGUUUUGUUCUGACAAUUUUAAUCUGAUUAACGUUGUAAAGCCAUACACGGUAAUGUUUAAAACACUAAUUAGUCAAU
rnacentral:lncRNA from 1 species